rnacentral:rRNA from 1 species
AUUGAACGCUGGCGGCAUGCCUUACACAUGCAAGUCGAACGGCAGCACGGGUGCUUGCACCUGGUGGCGAGUGGCGAACGGGUGAGUAAUACAUCGGAACAUGUCCUGUAGUGGGGGAUAGCCCGGCGAAAGCCGGAUUAAUACCGCAUACGAUCCACGGAUGAAAGCGGGGGACCUUCGGGCCUCGCGCUAUAGGGUUGGCCGAUGGCUGAUUAGCUAGUUGGUGGGGUAAAGGCCUACCAAGGCGACGAUCAGUAGCUGGUCUGAGAGGACGACCAGCCCAAAUGGGACUGAGACACGGCCCAGACCCCUACGGGAGGGAGGAGUGGGGAAUUUUUGGCAAAGGGGGAAAGCCUGAAUCAGCAAAGGCGGGUGUGGUAAGAAGGCCUUCGGGGUGGAAAACCACUUUUGUCGGAAAGAAAACCCUUGCCCCAAAAACGGCCGGGGGUGACGGGACCGGAAAAAAAAGCACCGGCUAACUACGUG